rnacentral:rRNA from 1 species
UGGGGAAUAUUGGGCAAUGGGGGAAACCCUGACCCAGCAACGCCGCGUGAAGGAAGAAGGCUUUCGGGUUGUAAACUUCUUUUACCAGGGACGAAGAAAGUGACGGUACCUGGAGAAAAAGCCACGGCUAACUACGUGCCAGCAGCCGCGGUAAUACGUAGGGGGCGAGCGUUGUCCGGAAUUACUGGGCGUAAAGGGAGCGUAGGCGGUCGAUUAAGUUAGAUGUGAAACCCCCGGGCUUAACUUGGGGACUGCAUCUAAUACUGGUUGACUUAGAGUACAGGAGAGGGAAGCGGAAUUCCUAGUGUAGCGGUGAAAUGCGUAGAUAUUAGGAGGAACACCAGUGGCGAAGGCGGCUUUCUGGACUGACACUGACGCUGAGGCUCG